CAGGGGAAGGGUGUUUGCUGGAGGGGGGGUGGUCGCAAUGGAGAGCAGAUGUUUCGGUUGCCGGAGCUGCCAGGGGUCUGCGUGCCGCGGGGUCGACGCCAGAGGUUAAGGGUCCGUCUGGGCAGAGCAGUGGUGUCAGAUGGAGCAGGCCAGCCUAUCGGCAUAAGUGGAAGAGAAGCAGACAGAAGUGGUAUGAGACUAUGGGAAGAGGAGCCACGGCUCGUGGGAACACUAGCCAUGAUUACCCCUGCAGCAGCUGCUUAAUAACCUGAAAGGCAGGCUAAGUAUGCCCAGCAGUAGUUCAGUUGCUGUUGCAUUCCUGCACAAAGGGAUGGCAUUGGGAAGCCCUGCUCCAGUGCGGUCUUCUGGGACACAAGAAGGAGAAUGGGGGAAGGACCUGCCUAGCAGUUCUAAGCAAGAGGACUGUGAUCCUAAAUUGUGUUCAAUGGACCACCACCCUCCACAAAGGGGUGGAGCAGGGACACAAACAAGUACAUAGGUUAUUUUUCUCAAAAGGCUUCAAUGUGAGUGAGCUGCAAUCAAUGGAAAGGCUUCCUUCUGAUUUUGCAGGUCUCUGGAUUUAAGCCCGUAUGUGGAGGGUAGAGUAUUUUGUGCAAUGGCUUUAACCUGCCUCAGAGACUGUCACAUCACCAGAUCCUUUUUCCAUUCCUGUUGGUUACAGUCAGUUUUGCAGUGUUUGCCUCCUGGGCUCAGGACACUGAGCCUAAACAAAGGAUGAUUGGGAAAAUUAUAAAUUUGUAUCCUCCCUUAACAGCUGUGUUUAAAAUAAGUCUCUAUAAUUAUCAGAUUGUUUUAAGCUUACCAUCAUAAUUUACUGUGCUUCCCUAAAGCAGUAGCAGAUGAAUCUAAACAGUGCACAGCUUGUGGUCUGUCCACAGCAUGCCCACGACAUCGUCCUAGUCUCAGACAUUCCCAUGAAGGCCAGCCGGUGAGUCACGCAGCCGCAGCUCCUCAUUGCCGGCAAAGGGAGCCCACCUGAGGGGCAGCCUUUCACUCUUUCCUUCAUCCAGGCACUCACUCACUUCUCCCAGUGGGGCUCCAGUCUCCAGCACAGGCGGUGUCUCUGCAGAGGCACGCUGAUGGACUCUUCAGAAGUCUUUUGCACACAAAAGCAGGCACUCCCGCUACACAUCUGCAGGCUGAUUUAUUAGAAUACACAGAUUUGCGGGGCAAUAUAAUAUUGUAUGCAGCAGAUAAGAACAGCAUGCACAGAGUCUUUUAGCUGUGCACAUCUGUAUUCCUAUCUGGAAAUAACCUGCAAGUUAGAUUCUUGUUUGAAUCACAUGUAGUUGGGGUGUAAAGAGUAGAGCCAUUAUCUGUCCAGACUAGGGUCAUCCAGGAAAGCAAGCAUUUGUAGCAAGAAGUUUAAGAUCAUGUAACCCUUUUUUCUUUUUUCUCAUUUUACUUGUGUAGACUUUUAGCCAGCAGCACACAGAAAAUCUGGAAAAUUAUCUAGAUUUGGGAUCCAUAUGUAGAUGAAUUUGCUAGCUUUGUUCAUAUUAAAGUUUAAAAUUUUCAGAAAAAAAUGCAGAUUUCUAUCCUUUUCAUUCAAAACAAGCAUAGCAUUUUCAAGGACCACAGUUUUGACCUAUCAGAAUAUGUACAAUCUUGAACUGAAAAGAUGUAAUCAGAAGACAAAAAGAAUGACCUACAUCUGUACAGAAGCUUCUCAUCUAUUCCUAUUAAAAGAACAUCGAUGGCCAUCUCUGUCCUAAGAUCAAGUAAUUCCUAUACUUCUAAGAUGAAUUCAUCUGUGUUGCCCCUCAUUUUCUAUGGGGCUGCAGCCAUGGCUGACAAGGAUGGGGAUUCUUCUCCAGGAUGGUAAGUCCGAUGAUUUCCAGCAAGGUCCCUUGCAGGUGCUUUUCAAGCAGAGUUGAUUUAAAGGCAACUGCAAUUAUGAAAAUUAGAAAUCAUGACUGCCAACUAUUUAAAUUGAGAUAAACCCUCUCCAGUUGAGAGAAAGUGAACAAAGGCCAUAUGUAAGUCCUUAGCAUUGACUGGCAAAACACAAGUGGGUUUUUUGGGUGUUUGCCAGUUUUGCUUAAGAUACACUACCUAGUAUUCUCAGGGUCUGCAGGAAUCUCUUGUGAUUCUUUACAGUUAAGUCCAUCAAAUACUUACAUUUUCAACUCCAGUGUUUCAUUAUUUAAUGCAGCUUUGGCAAGCCACAAUUGUACAGUUCUUCAGUCCUCUCAUCAUCUACGUUAUCAUGUAUCUUUCAAAGACUAGAAUAGAUUUCUACUAAAUGAUUUAGCUCUGCUCAAAGAUAGGGCUGAUAAAUUGAACUUUCACUCAUACUGCCUGUUAUUAUAUUUUGUUUGUUGUAAAAUGAGGUGGUUUUUUGCCUUCUGAAAGAACUUAAGAUUUUGUUUUAUUGCAGAGAGGAUCUAAGUGAUUUGACAACACCAUUAGGUAGAACAAAGUCUUCUUACAAUACUGUGUAAAUAAUUAGUUACUCUGAACAAAAGAUUCGCAACAGCAGUUUAAGUAUUUCCUUAUAAUUUUAUGUAGGGUUUGUAAAAAAAAAAAACCCAACAAAAAACCAAACACAACAAAAACAACAAACCAAAACCCAAAGAUCCAUAUUCAUAACUCAUGUAUUAAAAGUGUCUGGUUGGAAUCUGCAUCCAAAUCUCUUCUCAUCUCUCUUUGUCUCUGUGAUCUUCAAGUUUUCAGGCAGGCAGCGCCUGAGGAUUGAGUUCUGCCCUGUUCCGGGGUAACUGAUAUACCUGCCUGAUCCAGAUGCUUAGUAGG